GAUAGGGGCAGGAGCUCGGAGUGGAACCGCUGGAAGAGGAGACGCGCGGGGCAGUGAUGCCGGGGAGAGGGCCCGGGCGGGUGUCUGUCCCGUCCACGCUUAGUCCCCGCGCCCCGCGGGCACCCAGGGUUGUGAACGGGAGGUGUCCAAGGACCUCGGCACGCCGGCCCCAAUAAUAGGCACGGGGAAGGAGGACUGGUGGACGGGAUGUCCCCAGGAGAGGGGGACUUGCGCCGCCCGAGGCCCCUCACCUCUUGCAGGGCGCGCCGCCUCCGGCCCCGGUCCGGUCGCGCUGUCGCCGGUUCUUGAACCAGUUGCUGACCUGCGUGAGCGAGAGGCCGGUGUCUACAUGCCCCGCAGAGCAGACAGCCCACCUCCUCCCGGCCUUCCGGGGAAGGGGACACAUGAGGGACUCGCCUGUGGCUCCCUCUGCCUGCAGCAAUUCCAUCCGCUCCUGCAACUGCCGUACAUGCGCCUCUAGGUCCCGGUUCCGAGCCUCUGCCUCACGUAGUUGACUGUGGGAAGGUAAGGACGGUGAGUCGGUCCGAGUCGGACGAGUCACACGAGAGGGGCUGCCAAGGGUUGCCAUGGGCCCCGCGCCCCGGCCCCAACCCCGACCUGGCAAAGUUCUGGUUGGCCAAGCGGAUGGCCUCCAUGUCCCGGCUCAGGCUCUGCCGGGUGAGCACCUCUUCCUCCAGGGCCUCCUGGAGCUCCCGCAGCGUCACCUCGGCCUCAGCCUCUGCCACAGGGAUAGCCGCUGGAACUGUCACUUCAGCCUGUGUAUGGGGACCGGGCUGAAGGCUGCCUGUGGCUCCUGGAGGACUCAGAACUUGGGCACUGGUUCCAGGCUAGGGAUCCUUGCUUGUCCCCUACUUCUCCGUCCCCUCAAAAUUUCUGGAAUCCCCACAGCUCCUGCAAUGAUCCAAGCCCCCUCCCUUCCCUACCUCCCUCAGCCCCUUCUCUGAGUCUGGUCCUCUAAAUCCACACAGGGACCAGAGGGCUGGUCCUCAAACACUAACACAACCUAUGUCCCUCUGCUGCUCAAAAUCCCUCCAGCUCCCUAAUGCCCUCAUGACAAAAGGCCUUGCUGGGUUUUGUUUCCUGCUGGCCUCUCCAGCAUUCUCAGGAACGAUUCAGCCAAACAGGAGCAAAUCAGGAUUCCCACCUGCUCAAGGCCUUUGCCCUUGAGGCUCUCGCCUGACCACCUGCCACCUUUCUUUCCAUGGCUGGCUUCUCCUUCAGGAGCGUUCAGCUCAAAGAUCAACUCCUCAGAUCCCCACCAACGCACACAGCCUUACUUAAUGCCCCACUGUAACUAGAGACCGUGUCAUGUCUGAAGUAA